GUGGGGGCAGGACAUUGGAGUCCUGGCUGCCUGGGCUACUCUUCUCUCUUUGUCUCUCUCUCAGCUUCAACCGCCUGGAUCUGCCUCCCUACAAGAGCUACGAGCAGCUGAAAGAGAAGCUGCUGUAUGCCAUCGAGGAGACUGAGGGUUUUGGACAGGAGUAGCUGAGGCUGCCCCUCUCACACCCUCCAGCACAUGUAGUCCUGAGUCCUGCCUGCCUGAGAGGCCACCGGCUGCACAGCCCUCGAGAGGCCCCUUUGGAUAGUGGCCCUGCACGAGACUGUGCUUUGAUCAUGUUGGUGACUGAAGAGGCCUUGGGGACCCUUUCUUCUCUCUGAUGAUGGCAGUCUGGAAUAAAGCCCUGUCACCUUUGACUCCAUUACCUGUUGCAAAGUCAGAGGGCUGCCCUUCUCUGCAAAACUGCCCCCUCCACUAGGACUGAGUCUGGGUGUGUGUGAGUGUGAGGGAACAUGCACUGCCUUAGAGGGCCCCAUAGAAGCUGGGCCUCACAUGUUCCAUGAGGAGAUAAGCCUCAUGGGAUGGCUGACUAAACCCAGAAAGCCAAGGGUCUUUGCCAGCAGAAGAGGCUUCACUUUUGUAGAUCUUUCCUGGCGUCUGUGUAACCGAUCAGAGGGAACAACUCUACAUCAAAACCGUCUUUGCUUUACUUCCUGGCAGGCCGCAGCCCAGGGGAGUGAGCAGCAGACACCCAGUGCCACCAGCUCGUCUCUUUCUAGCAAGCAAAGGGUUGAAGAAGCCACCAUCUGUGUGUCAGUGGGAAGGAAACAGCAGAACCAGGCUUUGUCCUUUGACAUUAACUUCAAAGUAUAUCAGUGUAUAGGUUCUUUCCUAUUCUGUUGUAGGUAUGCUGUUCUCCUGGAGCUGGUGCCCCUGGUAUUUGAGGGGCUCAACCCUCUUAAUCCAGUAGCUUCCCAAACAGCUGUCCCUCUCAGGAACCUGCUUAACAGUUGCACCAGCUCGGAGGCCUGGCUCUGUGGUCCAGUGCAUCCCUGCCAUGCUCAAACGCUUCACUGACAAGAUUCCUUUGCUAGGCAGUUCCCAGUUAGGACCAGGUGACACUGCUCCCUCAGUGGCCUCUGGAGCUCACAGUGGCUUAAAAUGGAGAUCUUGCCUGGCUGAGUGUAUGUGCUAUGGAAGUGUGAGGCUUUAUCUGACUGUGGGAAAAGACUCUACUGAAAACCAGCCGAAGGGCCCAAGUUGCCUCAGUAGCUUGGCUUCCUUCAUGGAGCUCCUGACAGCAUCCUGUGUAGGUACCCUGGCUCCUCUAGGUGUCAGAGUGGUUAGAGUGGCACACUCCUUCCUCCAGCCCCCGUGACAUACUAGCUUGGGGGCACCCCAGGCAUGCUCUCAGACUACUCCUGGGGCCUCUGAGGGUGGUCCCAUCCUACCUUUGACCUUUCCUGGUACAGCCUGUGACCCUGGCACAUCGCACAUGCUGAUCUGAGUGGCUCAGCUCACUGCUGCACACCCUUCCUCUCCCAUGCAGUCACCUCAGGACUCCUCACAUACAUCAUAAAAGCUGCUCCUUGGCUGGGUGGGGACCAGAUGCCAGCCAUGUAUGGAAGCAUCAGGCUCGUGUGUGUGUGUGUGUGUGUGUGUGUGUGUGUGUGUGUGUGUGUGUGUGUAUGUGUGUGUGAGAGAGAGAGAGAGAGAGAGAGAGAGAGAGAGAGAGAGAGAGAGAGAGAGAGAAAGUGUGUACAGAAAGGCCUGUGCUAGCUAGCACCAAGUUGAUCGACAGACUGUUUUGUAAUGCUUGCCCUGCCUCGGUAUUGCCAGUUUCUUGUGCAAUAAACAAUCAGCAGCCA
rnacentral:lncRNA from 1 species